CCAGAUUUACUUAACUACCAGCUGGAGGGCCCAGUCCCCCAGGGUCCACCUUCUUCAUUUCAACUCCCCUUGCUUUUUCAAAUGGUCAGAAGCAGGGAGGAGGGUCCUGCGAGAUGGGACCUGAGAGAACUGGCCAACCUAUGCCCAAGUUUCCCUCCAUUCUCACCUGAACUCCAGCAUCAGAAUUACUCCUUUGGGUUAAGGACUCAAAAGUCUAUGACUGCAAAUGGAUGUGUAGUUGGAGACAGCCCCACUAAGCCAUGGCCACUAGGCUAAACUUCUUUGUCACUAGAUUAACAGCUGAGACUUGGGCUCAGGGGUUGGGCCCAAAGGUAUGCAUGCUUUUAAUUUUAUUGAAGACAUUAUGUAAACAUAUUAAAGAAUAUUCUGGGGGAAACAGACAAAAUAUGGCUACAGCUUUUUCCUUUUUCCACAGUUUUCAAGGUCAGGAAAGUAGUCUCUAUGAAAUGAGAAUAAUCUUUAGUGAGCCUUUAGAUCAGUAUCUUCAGAAGUGUUCCACAGUUAGUUGGAUGGGUUUUCAUUCAGUUUAUAAAUGACAUCCAUAAAGCAAUUGUCCUGCUUCUCUAGCACAGGGCUGGAUACAUGAGCCUCCAGGGGCUGUGAGCGUCUCAGAGGCCGAGGACAAUACAGCCAGAGUGCUUUUCCCACCUCCAUUGUAAACAAUUUGGAAUUUAAUCUAAAAAGACGCUAAGGGGAUCAAUUAUUUGAAGCAAUUUGUGUCAAUUUCCAAGUCAACUCCGGGUCAUCAUCCAGGAAAGACAAUUUUUAGUACGGAAACCCCGGCCUGCCUAUGGGAACAGGUCUUCCCCCUCCCUCACCAGUCACUACUCAGCAGAGGCCGAUGGCUGCGAGAAACAGCCGGCUACCUGAGGGCUCCUGGACAGGGAGACAGGAUCGCUCCCCCAAGGAGGGGAGGGACUGCCCUCCCUCCGAGCUGGACCGGGCGGUGUCGCUGCUCCAUAGCUGCGGGUCUCAGACUUCGCGACCGUGUGGGUCUCCGGCAGGGCCCGUGAACACAGCGCGCGGGGUCCAGAGACCAGUGCUGGCCCGGGAGUCUGCCUUUGCAAGUUUAAGCUCCGAGGGCCAAGGCACAGGACAGAUGCUGGAAGGAUCCCUCCAUUUCGCCGAGGGGCUCAGUACUAACUGGUUCAAGAUGCAAACAAAGUGA
ensembl:lncRNA